rnacentral:rRNA from 1 species
AUUGAACGCUGGCGGAAUGCUUUACACAUGCAAGUCGAACGGCAGCACGGACUUCGGUCUGGUGGCGAGUGGCGAACGGGUGAGUAAUGUAUCGGAACGUGCCCAGUCGUGGGGGAUAACGUAGUGAAAAUUACGCUAAUACCGCAUACGAUCUAUGGAUGAAAGCGGGGGAUCGCAAGACCUCGCGCGAUUGGAGCGGCCGAUAUCAGAUUAGGUAGUUGGUGGGGUAAAGGCCCACCAAGCCAACGAUCUGUAGCUGGUCUGAGAGGACGAGCAUCCACACGUGAACUGAGACACGGUCCAGACUCCUACGGGGGGCAGCAGUGGGGAAUUUUGGACAAAGGGCGAAAGCCUGAUCCAGCCAUUCCGCGUGCAGGAUGAAGGCCCUCGGGUUGUAAACUGCUUUUGUACAGAACGAAAAGGUUUCUACUAAUACUAGGAGCUCAUGACGGUACUGUAAGAAUAAGCACCGGCUAACUACGUGCCAGCCGCCGCGGUAA